GGUGGUGCAUGGCCGUUCUUAGUUGGUGGAGUGAUUUGUCUGGUUAAUUCCGAUAACGAACGAGACCUUAACCUGCUAAAUAGCCAGGCCGGCUUUCGCUGGUCGCCGGCUUCUUAGAGGGACUGUCAGCGUCUAGCUGACGGAAGUUUGAGGCAAUAACAGGUCUGUGAUGCCCU
rnacentral:ncRNA from 1 species